UACGUAGGGGGCAAGCGUUGCUCGGAAUCACUGGGCGUAAAGCGCACGUAGGCGGCUUCUCAAGUCAGGGGUGAAAUCCUGGAGCUCAACUCCAGAACUGCCUUUGAUACUGAGGGGCUCGAGUCCGGGAGAGGUGAGUGGAACUGCGAGUGUAGAGGUGAAAUUCGUAGAUAUUCGCAAGAACACCAGUGGCGAAGGCGGCUCACUGGCCCGGUACUGACGCUGAGGUGCGAAAGCGUGGGGAGCAAACAGG
rnacentral:rRNA from 1 species